GGCUGGUCCGAUGGUCGUGGGUUCUCAGAACGUAUUAACAUUAGCGUCACUAAAGUUGGUAUUCAACCCCGCCCCACUGCUCAAUUUGACUGGCUUAAA
rnacentral:Y_RNA from 1 species